AUGACAAGAAUGUGCGUCGUCGCUUUCGGGCAAGUAACUACCAGAGCACCACCCGGGUCAAACCCUUCAUCUGCACCAUGCCCAUGCGGCUGGAUGACGGCUGGAACCAGAUUCAGUUCAACUUACUCGACUUCACGAGGCGAGCAUACGGCACCAAUUACAUUGAGACCCUCAGAGUGCAGAAUCCAUCCCUAAGACAAGCCAAGGAGACGCCGGAGAUGAAGCGUUCCCAGUCCUAGAAGAGGGCCUCUAGAAGAUUCAGGAAAAGGGGGAGAA
rnacentral:sRNA from 1 species